UGGUUGCCAUCAAUGCCAUGGUUGGCUUCCCUCAGUUCCCUGUUGAUCAAGAUGGCAUCUCAGACUGAGUCUUUACCCGAUGCUCUCCUGGAAGCUCUGGCAGAAAAGGGUCGAGUAGAUUCCUAUGAAUAUGCUACUAGUGUUGGUAGAAAUCACCAAGACGUGGUUGGAGCCGUAAAGAGUUUGGAGUCCUUUGGAGACGUCAGUUAUAAAGACAGAGCAGAAACAGACUGAAUCGUGGGAACUCACUGAAGAAGGUAAAGAGAUAGCUGAGAAUGGUUCGCAUGAGGUUAGACUCUUUGAAGCAAUCGAUCAAUCAAAUGGAACACCACAAAAUGAACUAAUGCCUAGCAAGUGUGAGCUAA
rnacentral:lncRNA from 1 species